AAGACGAAGAAAAUGGAUAGUUAAUUCUCGUCGAGAUCAAUGGAUCCCGGGCCCAGGAGCGUAUCUUUGUGAGGUACAUUUUGAAGAAAAUCAAUUUGAAUGCUCUAGGCAAGAUGGGCGUAAAAAACUCAAGCCCAAUGCUGUGCCAACUCUUUUCAAUGUGCCUAAUCCCCCCACAACUGUUGACCCCCACAGCAUCUAAAAGGCAUUGGUUUACCAAAGCACCGUUCAGUUACAUCCAAUUUUUGUAAUGGUGGCUUGCUGCACAGUUUACCUUUAUCAACUGAAGCAAUUUCUGUUGCUGAACCAUCUGUUAUUCAUUUGCCACAACCUUCAGCUUCAUAUUUUGGAGAAAUAAAUUUUGCUGCUGAAGUAUUUGAUGUAAAUUGCCAUUUUGCACUUCUAAAAAAUUUUAAUAGUUUUUUAACAUCUAUUCGUAAACUGUACUAUGUUUUUUUAAAUGUUUCCAUCUUCAUAAUCAUGCACUUUGUUUCAUUUCACCAGUGGUUGCAAAUGUGUACAUUACAGUACAUAUCAGGUGUGUUUGCAACAACAUUUAGCAUUACCAUCUGAUUAAAUAACAGCUGCUAGUAAAGAAUCUAUGCUAUGUUUUCAUUUGAGCAGCUAUUAAAUGUCAUAUGUUUUACAUAUAUUGAUGAAUUUUUAUACGAUUUCUGAAAUAUGAAAUUGUUUGUCUUAUGGUUCCUAAACAGCUGUACUAUAUCUGGCUGUUGUGCUAUGGAAUUAUUUUUGAAUUUU